GGGGCUAUAGCUCAGCUGGGAGAGCGCUGCAAUGGCAUUGCAGAGGUCGGCGGUUCGAUCCCGCCUAGCUCCA